AGAGUUUGAUCCUGGCUCAGAUUGAACGCUGGCGGCAUGCUUUACACAUGCAAGUCGAACGGUAACGCGGGGGCAACCCUGGCGACGAGUGGCGAACGGGUGAGUAAUACAUCGGAACAUAUCCAGUAGCGGGGGAUAACCUAUCGAAAGAUGGACUAAUACCGCAUACGAUCUACGGAUGAAAGCAGGGGACCGCAAGGCCUUGCACUAUUGGAGUGGCCGAUGUCGGAUUAGCUAGUUGGUGAGGUAAAGGCUUACCAAGGCGACGAUCCGUAGCUGGUCUGAGAGGACGAUCAGCCACACUGGAACUGAGACACGGUCCAGACUCCUACGGGAGGCAGCAGUGGGGAAUUUUGGACAAUGGGCGCAAGCCUGAUCCAGCCAUGCCGCGUGAGUGAAGAAGGCCUUCGGGUUGUAAAGCUCUUUCGGUGAAGACGAAACGGUUCGUGCUAAUAACGCGGACUAAUGACGGUACUCACAGAAGAAGCACCGGCUAACUACGUGCCAGCAGCCGCGGUAAUACGUAGGGUGCAGGCGUUAAUCGGAAUUACUGGGCGUAAAGCGUGCGCAGGCGGUUUGCUAAGACAGGUGUGAAAUCCCCGGGCUUAACCUGGGAAUUGCGCUUGUAACUGGCAAGCUAGAGUGUGGCAGAGGGGGGUAGAAUUCCACGUGUAGCAGUGAAAUGCGUAGAUAUGUGGAGGAAUACCGAUGGCGAAGGCAGCCCCCUGGGUUAACACUGACGCUCAUGCACGAAAGCGUGGGAGCAAACAGGAUUAGAUACCCUGGUAGUCCACGCCCUAAACUAUGUCAACUAGUUGUCGGGGAAGAAAUUCCUUGGUAACGAAGCUAACGCGUGAAGUUGACCGCCUGGGGAGUACGGCCGCAAGGUUAAAACUCAAAGGAAUUGACGGGGACCCGCACAAGCGGUGGAUUAUGUGGAUUAAUUCGAUGCAACGCGAAAAACCUUACCUACCCUUGACAUGCUAGGAAGCCCGCAGAGAUGUGGGUGUGCCCGAAAGGGAACCUAGACACAGGUGCUGCAUGGCUGUCGUCAGCUCGUGUCGUGAGAUGUUGGGUUAAGUCCCGCAACGAGCGCAACCCUUGCCAUUAGUUGCUACAUUCAGUUGGGCACUCUAAUGGGACCGCCGGUGACAAACCGGAGGAAGGUGGGGAUGACGUCAAGUCCUCAUGGCCCUUAUGGGUAGGGCUUCACACGUAAUACAAUGGUCGGUACAGAGGGCUGCCAACCCGCAAGGGGGAGCUAAUCCCAGAAAGCCGAUCGUAGUCCGGAUUGUAGUCUGCAACUCGACUGCAUGAAGCCGGAAUCGCUAGUAAUCGCGGAUCAGCAUGUCGCGGUGAAUACGUUCCGGGGUCUUGUACACACCGCCCGUCACACCAUGGGAGUGGGUUCCACCAGAAGUAGUUAGCCUAACCGCAAGGAGGGCGAUUACCACGGUGAGAUUCAUGACUGGGGUGAAGUCGUAACAAGGUA
rnacentral:rRNA from 1 species